rnacentral:rRNA from 1 species
AGAACUUAGCAGAGAUGCUUUGGUGCCUUCGGGAACUCUGAGACAGGUGCUGCAUGGCUGUCGUCAGCUCGUGUUGUGAAAUGUUGGUUAAGUCCCGCAACGAGCGCAACCCUUUAUCCUUUGUUGCCAGCGGUUAGGCCGGGAACUCAAAGGAGACUGCCAGUGAUAAACUGGAGGAAGGUGGGGAUGACGUCAAGUCAUCAUGGCCCUUACGAGUAGGGCUACACACGUGCUACAAUGGCGCAUACAAAGAGAAGCGACCUCGCGAGAGCAAGCGGACCUCAUAAAGUGCGUCGUAGUCCGGAUUGGAGUCUGCAACUCGACUCCAUGAAGUCGGAAUCGCUAGUAAUCGUGGAUCAGAAUGCCACGGUGAAUACGUUCCCGGGCCUUGUACACACCGCCCGUCACACCAUGGGAGUGGGUUGCAAAAGAAGUAGGUAGCUUAACCUUCGGGAGGGCGCUUACCACUUUGUGAUUCAUGACUGGGGUGAAGUCGUAACAAGGUAAGCGUAGUGCU